rnacentral:rRNA from 1 species
AUACAUGCAGUCGAGCGAAUGGAUUAAGAGCUUGCUCUUAUGAAGUUAGCGGCGGACGGGUGAGUAACACGUGGGUAACCUGCCCAUAAGACUGGGAUAACUCCGGGAAACCGGGGCUAAUACCGGAUAACAUUUUGAACCGCAUGGUUCGAAAUUGAAAGGCGGCUUCGGCUGUCACUUAUGGAUGGACCCGCGUCGCAUUAGCUAGUUGGUGAGGUAACGGCUCACCAAGGCAACGAUGCGUAGCCGACCUGAGAGGGUGAUCGGCCACACUGGGACUGAGACACGGCCCAGACUCCUACGGGAGGCAGCAGUAGGGAAUCUUCCGCAAUGGACGAAAGUCUGACGGAGCAACGCCGCGUGAGUGAUGAAGGCUUUCGGGUCGUAAAACUCUGUUGUUAGGGAAGAACAAGUGCUAGUUGAAUAAGCUGGCUUUCUUGACGGUACCUAACCAGAAAGCCACGGCUAACUACGUGCCAGCAGCCGCGGUAAUACGUAUGUGGCAAGCGUUAUCCGGAAUUAUUGGGCGUAAAGCGCGCGCAGGUGGUUUCUUAAGUCUGAUGUGAAAGCCCACGGCUCAACCGUGGAGGGUCAUUGGAAACUGGGAGACUUGAGUGCAGAAGAGGAAAGU